rnacentral:rRNA from 1 species
AACCUAAAAUUAUUUUUUCCACCUAAAUAUACGACUAAUUUAGAGCAAUUCAAGUAGGGUACAGCCUGCUUGAAACAGGAUACAACCUAGACCUGAGGGUAACAACCAAUGUUAGAGAUAAAGUGGGCCUAAAAGCAGCCACCUUAAAAAACAGCGUCACAGCCUAAUCACACUACCCAAAUAAUUCCACAAAACUAAUGUAACCCCAAAACAGUAUCAAGCAAUUCUAUACUAUUAUAGAACAUUUUAUGUUAAAACUAGUAACAAGAAUAACAACUUCUCUUAAAUGCAAACGUAAAUCAGACAGGACCAACCACUGACAAUUAACACAUGAACCCCUAGUAACAACAAAUCAAGAAAACCCUACUAAGCCCCAUGUUAACCUAACACAAGAGCAUUUCAAGAAAGAUUAAAAGAAAAAGAAGGAACUCGGCAAAUUUUAACCCCGCCUGUUUACCAAAAACAUCGCCUCUUGCAUAAACAUAAGAGGUCCAGCCUGCCCAGUGACUUUGUUCAACGGCCGCGGUAUCCUAACCGUGCGAAGGUAGCGUAAUCACUUGUUCUUUAAAUGAGGACUAGUAUGAAUGGCACCACGAAGGUUACACUGUCUCCUUUAUCUAAUCAGUGAAACUAAUCUUCCCGUGAAGAAGCGGGAAUAAAAAUAUAAGACGAGAAGACCCUAUGGAGCUUUAAACACACUAAUAAUUGCCUCACCCACACCACUCCCAGAAAAACAACCAAAAUCCAGGCAUUAUAAUUACAAGUUUUAGGUUGGGGUGACCACGGAGCAUAACAAAACCUCCGUAAUGGACGGGAAUUUCCCCCUAAACCAAGGGCCACAGCCCCAAGAAUCAAUAAAUUGACAUCUAUUGACCCAAUACAUUUGAUCAAUGAACCAAGUUACCCUAGGGAUAACAGCGCAAUCCACUUCAAGAGCCCCUAUCGACAAGUGGGUUUACGACCUCGAUGUUGGAUCAGGGUGUCCCAGUGGUGCAGCCGCUACUGACGGUUCG